ensembl:lncRNA ARGLU1-DT ARGLU1 divergent transcript
GGCGGAAGCCUGAGACGCAAUAGAUGGAGACUCUCCUUUUCGCCUUGGCGUACUCUUUUUUUUUUUUUCCUCCCUGGAGCUGGUCUUGUGGGGCAGCCCUAAAAUGUAUCUCCAAGUGACCCUGCACUCAUCACUUGCUGCCUUGGACUUAGUUUCCUCAUUCGUAGAAUGGAGACACCACACUUUCUGAAGUGCUUAUGAGACUUGCAGGAGGGAGGAAUCUCCCAGUGUUUGUGCCAUGUUUUGAUCUGACUGAAAGCCAUAAACAUAGCCGAAGCCUGGGCCAUCCACAGAAGACCCAAUGUUCUCUUUUUCCAAGUGGGCAUUUUGUAUCUCUGAAGAGUUCUAGACUGAGCUACAUCAGUAGACCUCUGCAUUUAAAGGGAGCAAUUCUCAUCCGAGGAUCCUGAUUCUUCUACUGUAGUGCAAUUUCACCACUCUCUCCAAAUGUCUCCAAGCAAAUUCAAAGCAGCUGAAAAUAACUGCAUGCCUGAGAGGACCACGAAGCUUCAGGCCAGCCCUGUCCCGAAGUCUUCUGUGCUUCAUGUCGAGUGGUCUGCAGUGGACUGUGUCUGCUUGAAGCGAUGCUCCGGAGGGCUUAUUGUUGUGUGGGGUAAAGCAUGAGAUCACUGAAAAAUGAGAGAAAUCGAGCAUACGAAAUGUGAAGCAUAUCUGUUGACACCAUGCGCUCCCUUUGCUUGCACUGGAUGGCGCAUGGUUUCCGUGCGCAGUGCCUGAGGUGUGGGGCAGGCGAGGCCCAUGCAGCCUGGCUCCUUUCCAGAAGGUUGCUGUUCAUUACAGCUCGAGUGUGCUGGGUUCUGCAGAUAUUAUCUAUUUUAAAUUAACGCUCCGUAAAAGGAAUUUAAAGUUUUCUGAAAAGAAACCAAUGAAUGAAGCUAAUAGUAAUAAUGCAAACACAAGCAAGCUGCCAAGUAAGCCAUUUUUCUAUUACGGAGCCCUUCAUCAGUCAUAUUAUUAAAGAAAAAACAACAAUACUAGUAAUAAUGAUCACCUAUUCAAGACCAAGAGGUUGAUCCUCCAAAAUUCAAACAAGGAAAAAUCUCUCCCAAUCUCUCCUUUCCUCCAUCCCUUUUCUUUACUUCUCAUCCCAUAUAUAAUAUUAUAUAAUGCAUACGUAAUAAAAGACAUUCACUAUUA